rnacentral:rRNA from 1 species
ACGCUAGCGAUAGGCUUAACACAUGCAAGUCGAGGGCAGCAUGAUCUUAGCUUGCUAAGGUCGAUGGCGACCGGCGCACGGGUGCGUAACGCGUAUGCAACUUGCCUUACAGAGGGGGAUAACCCGUUGAAAGACGGACUAAAACCGCAUACACUUGUAUUAUUGCAUGAUAUUACAAGGAAAUAUUUAUAGCUGUAAGAUAGGCAUGCGUCCCAUUAGCUGGUUGGUGAGGUAACGGCUCACCAAGGCGACGAUGGGUAGGGGAACUGAGAGGUUUAUCCCCCACACUGGUACUGAGACACGGACCAGACUCCUACGGGAGGCAGCAGUGAGGAAUAUUGGUCAAUGGGCGAGAGCCUGAACCAGCCAAGUCGCGUGAAGGAAGACAGUCCUAAGGAUUGUAAACUUCUUUUAUACGGGAAUAACGGGCGAUACAA